AAAUGUGUGGCAUAGUGUUUUGAGCAUUGGACUAUGACUCUGAAGACCAGGGUUUGAAUCCCUGCUGAGCCA